UACAGAGGGGGCAAGCGUUGUUCGGAAUUACUGGGCGUAAAGGGCGCGUAGGCGGCCUUCUAAGUCGAACGUGAAAUCCCCGGGCUCAACCCGGGAACUGCGUCCGAUACUGGAAGGCUUGAAUCCGGGAGAGGGAUGCGGAAUUCCAGGUGUAGCGGUGAAAUGCGUAGAUAUCUGGAGGAACACCGGUGGCGAAGGCGGCAUCCUGGACCGGCAUUGACGCUGAGGCGCGAAAGCUAGGGGAGCGAGCAGG
rnacentral:rRNA from 1 species